rnacentral:rRNA from 1 species
UCAGUGGCGAACGGGUGAGUAACACGUGAGCAACCUGCCCUGGACUCUGGGAUAAGCGCUGGAAACGGCGUCUAAUACUGGAUAUGAGACGUGAUCGCAUGGUCAACGUUUGGAAAGAUUUUUCGGUCUGGGAUGGGCUCGCGGCCUAUCAGCUUGUUGGUGAGGUAAUGGCUCACCAAGGCGUCGACGGGUAGCCGGCCUGAGAGGGUGACCGGCCACACUGGGACUGAGACACGGCCCAGACUCCUACGGGAGGCAGCAGUGGGGAAUAUUGCACAAUGGGCGGAAGCCUGAUGCAGCAACGCCGCGUGAGGGAUGACGGCCUUCGGGUUGUAAACCUCUUUUAGCAGGGAAGAAGCGAAAGUGACGGUACCUGCAGAAAAAGCGCCGGCUAACUACGUGCCAGCAGCCGCGGUAAUACGUAGGGCGCAAGCGUUAUCCGGAAUUAUUGGGCGUAAAGAGCUCGUAGGCGGUUUGUCGCGUCUGCUGUGAAAUCCCGAGGCUCAACCUCGGGCCUGCAGUGGGUACGGGCAGACUAGAGUGCGGUAGGGGAGAUUGGAAUUCCUGGUGUAGCGGUGGAAUGCGCAGAUAUCAGGAGGAACACCGAUGGCGAAGGCAGAUCUCUGGGCCGUAACUGACGCUGAGGAGCGAAAGGGUGGGGAGCAAACAGGCUUAGAUACCCUGGUAGUCCACCCCGUAA